rnacentral:rRNA from 1 species
CGGAAGGUCCGGGCGUUAUCCGGAUUUAUUGGGUUUAAAGGGAGCGUAGGCCGGAGAUUAAGCGUGUUGUGAAAUGUAGACGCUCAACGUCUGCACUGCAGCGCGAACUGGUUUCCUUGAGUACGCACAAAGUGGGCGGAAUUCGUGGUGUAGCGGUGAAAUACUUAGAUAUCACGAAAGAACUCCGAUUGCGAAGGCAGCUCACUGGAGCGCAACUGACGCUGAAGCUCGAAAGUGCGGGUAUCGA